GGGGGCGUAAAGGUUUCGACGGGGAUCCGGAAUCAGGUCUAGCGAGCAGAGGCGCCCGUCCUCUCUAAAAUGGGCAAACCUUAAAAUUAACUGACAACUCUAAUUUGUCUUACGCGGCCUAACUAAUGGCUGCCGUCUCCCCCGGGAGGGCCACGGCCCGGGACGAGGCGUGGAUCAGUGGCGUCCGUGCGUGCGGUAAGCUUUGCCCGCACCAUGCAUCAUGAAGCUACCAAAGGCUGAAGACUGACGGCCGCCGUCAGCCCAAGGGAAUGUAAUCGACCGUCUGCGCUCGGAGAAAGACUUGUGGAUGGGUUUUCGGACAGGGGUUCGAUUCCCCUCGCCUCCACCA
rnacentral:tmRNA from 1 species